rnacentral:rRNA from 1 species
GACGAACGCUGGCGGCGUGCCUAAUACAUGCAAGUCGAACGCAGUGGGGACGGGUGAGUAACACGUGGGUAACCUCCCAUCAGAGGGGAUAACACUUGGAAACAGGUGCUAAACCGAUACUGAUGGAUGGACCAGCGGUGCAUUAGCUAGUUGGUGAGGUAAAGGCUCACCAAGGCCACGAGGCAUAGCCGAACUGCGAGGGUGAUCGGCCACACUGGGACUGAGACACGGCCCAGACUCCUACGGGAGGCAGCAGUAGGGAAUCUGCGGCAAUGGGCGAAAGUCUGACCGAGCAACGCCGCGUGAGUGAAGAAGGUUUUCGGAGCGUAAAACUCUGUUGUUAGGGAAGCGUUAUCUAACCAGAAAGCCACGGCUAACUCCGUGCCAGCCGCCGCGGUAAUUC